GGAUCAAUAUGUCGGUCGUGCUUCGGUACGUACUGGUAUCAUUGGUUUCUCCUUUCUGACGAACCAUGAUGUCAUUAAUUUGGUGUUAUGGGGAGUUAGGACUGUUACUUUGAAAAAAUUAGAGUGUUUAAAGCAGGCUUUAGCUUGAAUACAUUAGCAUGGAAUAAUGAAAUAGGACGUUCGAACCUAUUUUGUUGGUUUCUAGGAUCAACGUAAUGAUUAAUAGGGAUAGUUGGG
rnacentral:rRNA from 1 species